rnacentral:lncRNA from 12 species
CACACGGUGUCACCGGGGCACCGCCGAUCCUGCCCGGCACACGGUGUCACCGGGGCACCGCCGAUCCUGCCCGGCACACGGUGUCACCGGGGCACCGCCGAUCCUGCCCGGCACACGGUGUCACCGGGGCACCGCCGAUCCUGCCCGGCACACGGUGUCACCGGGGCACCGCCGAUCCUGCCCGGCACACGGUGUCACCGGGGCACCGCCGAUCCUGCCCGGCACACGGUGUCACCGGGGCACCGCCGAUCCUGCCCGGCACACGGUGUCACCGGGGCACCGCCGAUCCUGCCCGGCACACGGUGUCACCGGGGCACCGCCGAUCCUGCCCGGCACACGGUGUCACCGGGGCACCGCCGAUCCUGCCCGGCACACGGUGUCACCGGGGCACCGCCGAUCCUGCCCGGCACACGGUGUCACCGGGGCACCGCCGAUCCUGCCCGGCACACGGUGUCACCGGGGCACCGCCGAUCCUGCCCGGCACACGGUGUCACCGGGGCACCGCCGAUCCUGCCCGGCACACGGUGUCACCGGGGCACCGCCGAUCCUGCCCGGCACACGGUGUCACCGGGGCACCGCCGAUCCUGCCCGGCACACGGUGUCACCGGGGCACCGCCGAUCCUGCCCGGCACACGGUGUCACCGGGGCACCGCCGAUCCUGCCCGGCACACGGUGUCACCGGGGCACCGCCGAUCCUGCCCGGCACACGGUGUCACCGGGGCACCGCCGAUCCUGCCCGGCACACGGUGUCACCGGGGCACCGCCGAUCCUGCCCGGCACACGGUGUCACCGGGGCACCGCCGAUCCUGCCCGGCACACGGUGUCACCGGGGCACCGCCGAUCCUGCCCGGCACACGGUGUCACCGGGGCACCGCCGAUCCUGCCCGGCACACGGUGUCACCGGGGCACCGCCGAUCCUGCCCGGCACACGGUGUCACCGGGGCACCGCCGAUCCUGCCCGGCACACGGUGUCACCGGGGCACCGCCGAUCCUGCCCGGCACACGGUGUCACCGGGGCACCGCCGAUCCUGCCCGGCACACGGUGUCACCGGGGCACCGCCGAUCCUGCCCGGCACACGGUGUCACCGGGGCACCGCCGAUCCUGCCCGGCACACGGUGUCACCGGGGCACCGCCGAUCCUGCCCGGCACACGGUGUCACCGGGGCACCGCCGAUCCUGCCCGGCACACGGUGUCACCGGGGCACCGCCGAUCCUGCCCGGCACACGGUGUCACCGGGGCACCGCCGAUCCUGCCCGGCACACGGUGUCACCGGGGCACCGCCGAUCCUGCCCGGCACACGGUGUCACCGGGGCACCGCCGAUCCUGCCCGGCACACGGUGUCACCGGGGCACCGCCGAUCCUGCCCGGCACACGGUGUCACCGGGGCACCGCCGAUCCUGCCCGGCACACGGUGUCACCGGGGCACCGCCGAGCCUGCCCGGCACACGGUGUCACCGGGGCAUUGCCGAGCCAGGUGUUCUUUGCCUGCAGGAUUGGGAGCAGAUCCCAAACCACGGAGACUCUCAUGGCAAGGAAGAGUCAGAGGCUGGAGGCUUUGUCAACCAGAAGCCCUCCAGGCCCCGAGAACAGCAACCUCGACCAUCAGUGCCCAGAAAGCAACAAGAAGCCACUGGGGCAGUCCACAAUCUUGUAUGAUUACUCGGAGGAGGAGCUCAUGGCCAGCAUCGAGCGGGAGUACUGCUGCUGAGCCAGCCCCUGCCUCGGGCAUGUCGGUGCUCCUGGAAGCCCAGCUGAGCAGGACUGCUGCUGACAACACGUCUCACACAGUGGGACAGCACGGGAGAGGUGGCUGCUGCAGGGUCCUGGAGCAUAGGGCACAGAGGAGAAAGUUCACCUGGUCAGCUCCGAGUGAGAGCUUGAGGAUCUUCACCAGCUGCUGAUUUCUGACUGGUGCCACUGCAAGAGGCACCAAUUCAUCUUAAGAAUCAAUAUUUAGAAGCUCAUUUCUAAAUGCUAUUUGUAAAUGAACGUGUACUAGAAUUAAGUGUCAUACUAGAGGUGUUGAAAUGUGGUGCUUUGAAGGAAGAUCUUGCUUUGAACUUAGUUAAAAAAAAAUGCAGCAAUAUCAUCUGAUCCAGAACUUCAGAGGAUAUUGAAUGAAAUUCAUGUUUCUGCCACUUAAAAUGUGCCAAAUGUACUCCUUGAGCUGUGCAAGCCUCAGGUCCAGGUCUGAAUUUGGCACUGUCUCUUUCAAUCUGAUCCCCAGUGUGGGGGAUAAGAGGAAAGGGGAUGGGAGCCCACCAUCUAGUGCAUAGGCAGUGUAAUCCCAGAGUUCAAAUCCCACCACACUGGCAAAUUAGGAACACAGGAUUUGUAUGAUCCCUUUGGAGCAGGGUCCCAGCAUAGGUGUCCUACCUGGGGCUCUUGGGUUUGGAUCCAUCCCAGUGAUAGGAGUGAAAGCAGGAGGCACAUCCCCAUUUCAGUCAUCCUUCUCAAGAGGGACUUGCAUGCUCUCAUAGAGCAGCUGUUUGGGAUUGGUUUUCAGAAUUGCCACUCCUGGCCUUUCCCUAAUAUUUCUUGUCCUACAAGAAAAAUCACUGCAUUUUACCAUUAGCUGAUUGCAAAGUAAACCAGAAAGUUCUCUCUCCUAAGGAAACAGUAUUUUCAGUGCUCCCAGACAAGGCAGCCUGGUAUUUUGGGUUUCUGCUUUUAUUAUACCUGCAUCUUAACAUAUUAUGAGUAUCUGCUUAUUAUCAGACGUAGAAAAAUACUUUAUUUCUGUCUUCACCUGAAGCAUAAAAGGCAUCAGAUGAAAUUUUCACGAUGUGUAAAUGCAAAAAAAACCCUGCAGGACACCUCUUAAGAUGCUGUAUUUUAAAUACUUUAUGAUUCCUUGGACCUGUGAAACAGUAAUAAAUGCAUCUAUACUCUGA